rnacentral:pre_miRNA from 11 species
AUCUCAACUGAAAAUGAAAAACCCCCAGAGUGGGGAGACCCUCACUCAAGUCUCGGGAUACGCCGACGCCCCAAUAAUUCAAGAGAGACC